rfam:Methylocella silvestris BL2, complete genome.
AGGCUUUGUAAUUUGGGCGUUUCACUCUAUAUUCAAUGUGCCGCCUCAAAGCGGCUAUGGCGAUAAACGACGUCGGAAUAAGCUCUUUGGACCCGGGGGCGGUACCCGGCGCCUCCACCCAAGCCCGUCGCGAUGAUUUGCGGCGGGCUUCGGCGGGGGCGAAAUAGGUUCGACAGGGAGUGUAAAGGACUGUCUUUUGCCCGGCAUUGUACCGCCGUUAUCGGGCUAUUCUUAUAGUUGCCAAUGACAACUAUGCUCCGGUCGCCGUCGCCGCGUAAUGCGGCGUUAGCACCGAAAUCAAGUCCUUGGGGGUAGCACUUCAAGGCGGGGCUCGGAGGCGCCUGGCAACAGAAGCCUCCACU